rnacentral:rRNA from 1 species
UACGUAGGGUGCGAGGGUUGUCCGGAAUUAUUGGGCGUAAAGAGCUCGUAGGCGGUUUGUCGCGUCGGCCGUGAAAUCUCCACGCUUAACGUGGAGCGUGCGGUCGAUACGGGCAGACUUGAGUUCGGCAGGGGAGACUGGAAUUCCUGGUGUAGCGGUGAAAUGCGCAGAUAUCAGGAGGAACACCGGUGGCGAAGGCGGGUCUCUGGGCCGAUACUGACGCUGAGGAGCGAAAGCGUGGGGAGCGAACAGG